UCAGCCUUGGAGCCCUCUGGCCUGGCCUCGUCAGACUCCUGGCUCCCUGGACAAACAACCAGCCUCAGCUGAGCAUCUUCAGAGUACAGACACCAUGUCCUCUCUUUCUGCAACCGGGCGGAAACGAGGCUCUAAGGCCCGGCUAACUUUCUCCUAGUUUACUCUCCCUCUCGCCAGUCUGCAUUGCAAAAGCAGCUCUUUCUGUCCUGCCAACAACUUCACUUCCCUUUCUCCUCCUCCUUUGCAAUUUCUGUUUCUGAUGACUGCCAAUGAAACAGUUCAGUUUUCCUGAGGAUCCAGCAUCACCUAGCAUUGAAGAGAGGCCCUGAGGGGGGGGAGAAUGAAAUUUCUGAAUUCAGCUUUUCCUAACUCCUUAAUAGGUGAAAACACUGUGAGUUUGGAGACUAUAAAAGUCAGGAGUCUUUGGUUAACACUAACAGGAAUUCAACUCAAACUUCCAACAAAGAAGGAGGAGGAGGAGAAAGGGGAGGCAGAGGAAAAGAAAGGAGCAAAAUGAUGCACUGGCUCAGGUAAGCAAGAUGUCCAGGAGGCGGCUCUAGCUUUAAGCACACCUGCAUCCAGACAUCCAGACAACUUGUUUGGGCAUCUGACUCUGACUCUUCUCUGCAUUGGCUUAGUUUCAGGAAGCCCAUCCAUAGCUCUUGCCUACUUCCCACCAACUAAGCAACUCUCUCCUAUCACUGUGGGCAGACUUCCCAAGGAUGGCUCGUGUUGGCAGGGCUGGAGACACACGUCCAUCUGGAAUCUGAACUGAGAUGGAGGGAGGGCAGGUUCCACAGAGAAAAGUCAGAGUGUUGAGACCAAAAAACAGGGCAAGGGAUUCUGGGCAGGCUAAAACAGAGGGUCCCCAACAGGUGGUUAAGUGGCAU